rnacentral:lncRNA from 1 species
GGCUCCGACACUCAGCCCACCCCGCUAUCCUGUCUCUUNCCUCCAGAUGGNGAGAGGAAAUUGCAGGUGACCGAAAAAGAAAUACAGGAAUUUAUUCCUAUGUUUUGUCACUGUCAUCUUUGAAAUAUGAUAGGAAACCAAUUUUUUUUAAAAUAAAAUUAUACAUUGUGCAAUUUGUUCAGCUUACUUUGCAAGAAGAAAGCUGUAUGUUGCAAAUCUCAGAAUGAGAGCUUGAAUAGUAACCAAGUCAAUAGUUUGCCGCCAUUUUGGUUUAAUUUAAAUGGCUCCUUUUGGAAGUUUGGUUCAGAUGGCAAUUCUCUACACACUUCCCUACAAUUGAGUGGAGGUAUAUUGGAUGGCCAAUAUCUAUAAAAGGUCUGUGAUACCACCGCACUUAUGUCUUCAUGAUAAAGGGACCGCUGUGUAAAUAUAAAGGAAUCAGGACCUUCAGUUGCCAGAGGAAAUGGACUCUUCUUUAAAGGCUCUUGAAAUUCCCAAACUCUGCUGAUUAAGCUCAACUUUUCCCCCCUGCCAAGAUGAACUAUUUCCUGCUUUCCUUUCUUGUAAAUAUCGCCUGCCACCCAGCACCUUCUGGAGAUAAAAACCUGGAACAAUUAGUCAUUUGCAGACAUGCAUUGGCACGGUGAAAGAAAACAGCCUUUGCUUCUCCGGAUUGCCUUUGAGGGCAGCAGUGUUUACAAAUGCUUCCCCCGUUAUGCUAGUAAUGUGCUCGUUCCCAUUAACUUUCUGAAGCUGGGCGGCUCGCGAAAUGCNCCCUUCACUGAGGGAGAUGGUUUUUGCUUGUUUAACGUUUCCAAAAGUCUUUGGGCAGCUUAAGAGAACAAAAAUGCAAAUUAAAAAACGGUAGCUAUGAUGGAUUAACAGUGAUCACGGUGCAGAAAUUAUGUUAUCUCCUUACUGUUCCAUAUUCUAUCCCCUGGACACACAAAAUCCUUGGUAGCAUUUAACAGACCUCUUUCAAGGUAAGCAAAAGCCUUAUCACUAACCUGGCACAAGUGUUCA